rnacentral:rRNA from 1 species
UACGUAGGGUGCAAGCGUUGUCCGGAAUUAUUGGGCGUAAAGAGCUCGUAGGCGGUUCGUCGCGUCGGCUGUGAAAUCCCGAGGCUCAACCUCGGGUCUGCAGUCGAUACGGGCGGACUGGAGUUCGGCAGGGGAGACUGGAAUUCCUGGUGUAGCGGUGAAAUGCGCAGAUAUCAGGAGGAACACCGGUGGCGAAGGCGGGUCUCUGGGCCGAUACUGACGCUGAGAAGCGAAAGCAUGGGGAGCGAACAGG